GAAACGGAAGAGUUUUCCAAAACCGCGCAAUCUCAGCCACAAAGUGAAGAGUUGGAACAUCAGCUGUUUGAGAAAAUAAACUCUGGAGGAUUCUAUCCUCUGAAAAACCUCUUUUUGGCCAAUGACCCGGAAGGCAGGGGAAGAGUUAAAAGGGAUGCGUUGCCGGUCAUCCUGGCCGCCUUUUUGGGGCAAUUUGUGAGCGGCGAGAACGUCCACCAACUACUGCAAAGAUUACAUCUCGGGGGCAAACACAUCGUCACGUUUGAUGCAUUCUACGAGCACUUUAAAAGAGCAGAGAAUAAGGAUCCUCCGGAUUGGCUGGAUCCGAUGAAGAGGAAGCAGAAGCCGGC